UGGGGCACUGCUGGUGGGAUGAUGCCUUUGGAUGUCCCUGCUUCAAGCUCCGGCUCAAGGCGGAGCCAAAGAGACCAGCGUGCUCAGGGCUGAUUACCUGGGUUUUAGACAUCUGCAAGGAUGCAGAUUGCUCACCCUCUCUGCAAACCUGCUCUCAUGCUUAGCCACAUGCAUAGCAAAGAAAUUUUUCCAAAUUUCCUUUGACUCAUGGAAUAAUUUAGGUCAUGAUGACUAACACAAUCUCAUGACAAGAGAGGCAUCUUUUCCUUGAUGUGCGUGCACUUGUACUUACAGCGAUAUCAGCUUAAUGGCUGUGCCUGCACAGGAGAAAGUGGGGCUCUGGGUAUGUGAUACAAGGUGUCUGAAAAAUGCCAGCAACAGUGGUGGUAUGGGGAAUGCUCCAGAAGCCUGAGCUUGAUUUUGUUACACUAAUAUUUUAACCACAAAAAUCCUCUUCCAUUUGCUUAUUUGCCAUCUAUAUCACAGUAGCUGCUGCCCACGUCUGUCAGCUGAAGAUGCUCCCAUCACACAGAACUUGCCCACAAGGUAGGAGAUUGCAGAAAACACUGAAACAGUCAUAAUGCUUUUGUGGCAGGGUUCCUGCUACCUACCCACAACUACAAUACACCCCAGUUCCUAAAACAUUGCCAUCUGACACCUUCAUAAUUCCCCUCAGGCCUGGUGCCUCCCCCAGGAGAGUGCUAUCAGUGACAUCCCAGCAGUUCAUUUUGCGAUGGACUAAGGCACAGGAAAGUCACUCCUUAGCCGAGCGCUAGAGGAAAUGGAAAUGCUGCCACCACCACUUGUUCGUUCCUGGGCAAAAUGCCACUGAGAGUGAUGGGCUGCACAAGGCUGGUGGCCCACAGGAUUGCAGAACUCACAGGAGAUGCAUAUCUGCAUUGAGCUGGAGCAUUGCACCACUGUGGCCAUAGCCUCUGUGAUGAGAUUUUUAUUCGGAUCGUUGAGAUAUUUCUCUGACAUUGGCCUCCUGAGGUGCAUAUCUCAUGUAUUUGAUUGAAGUCCAGAGACAGAGUCUAAUAAAACCCAAUCCAUCUCCUUCUGAGUUA